rnacentral:rRNA from 1 species
UAAAACGUAGGAGGCAAGCGUUAUCCGGAGUUACUGGGCGUAAAGCGCGCGCAGGCGGCGCGACAAGUGGGGCGUGAAAUAUCCCGGCUAAACCGGGAGGGGACGAACCAGACUGUCGUGCUAGAGUGCAGUAGAGGAACGCGGAAUUCGGGGUGUAGCGGUGAAAUGUGCAGAGAUCCCGAGGAACACCAGAGGUGAAGACGGCGUUCUGGGCUGUAACUGACGCUGAGGCGCGAAAGCGUGGGGAGCGAACGGG